UGUAAUUAGGGGAUAGCUCGGUGAAAGUCGAAUUAAUACCCUAUAUUCUAUAUUUUUCGCAUGAUUGAUAUAGGAAAGAUUUAUUGAUUACAGAUGGGCAUGCGUUCCAUUAGCUUGUUGGUAAGGUAACGGCUUACCAAGGCAACGAUGGAUAGGGGGACUGAGAGGUUGACCCCCCACACUGGUACUGAGACACGGACCAGACUCCUACGGGAGGCAGCAGUGAGGAAUAUUGGUCAAUGGGCGCAAGCCUGAACCAGCCAAGUCGCGUGAAGGACGACGGUCCUAUGGAUUGUAAACUUCUUUUGUAGAGGAAUAAUGAUGGCCACGGGUGGCUGAAGGGAAUUACUCUGCGAAUAA
rnacentral:rRNA from 1 species